CCUACGUGGGGCAGCAGUGGGGAAUAUUGCACAAUGGGGGAAACCCUGAUGCAGCGACGCCGCGUGAGUGAAGAAGUACUUCGUUUUGUAAAGCUCUAUCAUCAGGGACGAAAAUGACGGUACCUGAGUAAGAAGACCCGGCUAACGACGUGCUAGCAGCAGCGGUGAUACGUAGGGGGCAAGCGUUAUCCGGAUUUACUGGGUGUAAAGGGAGCGUAGUCGGCAGUGCAAGUCUGGAGUGAAAGGCCGGGGCUCAACCCCCGGACUGCUCUGGAAACUGUACGUCUGGAGUGCAGGAGAGGUAAGUGGAAUUCCUAGUGUAGCGGUGAAAUGCGUAGAUAUUAGGAGGAACACCAGUGGCGAAGGCGGCUUACUGGACUGUAACGGACGUUGAGGCGCGAAAGCGUGGGGAGCAAACAGGAUUAGAUACCCGAGUAGUC
rnacentral:rRNA from 1 species